rnacentral:rRNA from 1 species
UACGGAGGGUGCGAGCGUUAAUCGGAAUUACUGGGCGUAAAGGGUGCGUAGGUGGUUAAUUAAGUUAUCUGUGAAAUCCCUGGGCUCAACCUGGGCAGGUCAGAUGAUACUGAUUGACUCGAGUAUAGGAGAGGGUAGUGGAAUUUCCGGUGUAGCGGUGAAAUGCGUAGAGAUCGGAAGGAACACCAGUGGCGAAGGCGGCUACCUGGCCUAAUACUGACACUGAGGCACGAAAGCGUGGGGAGCAAACAGG